rnacentral:rRNA from 1 species
UACGAAGGGGGCUAGCGUUGCUCGGAAUCACUGGGCGUAAAGCGCACGUAGGCGGACUCUUAAGUCAGGGGUGAAAUCCUGGAGCUCAACUCCAGAACUGCCCUUGAUACUGAGGAGCUCGAGUCCGGAAGAGGUGAGUGGAACUCCGAGUGUAGAGGUGAAAUUCGUAGAUAUUCGGAAGAACACCAGUGGCGAAGGCGGCUCACUGGUCCGGUACUGACGCUGAGGUGCGAAAGCGUGGGGAGCAAAGCAGG